rnacentral:lncRNA from 1 species
UUUGGGCGGCAAUCCAUUUCUCUCUCUCUCUCUCAAAUUACCAAGAACCUAGAUCCAGAUUUUCUCUUUCUCUCUGUCUUUCUUUAUUCACCCUUAAAUCAAUGAAGAAGAACAUCGUUCCAUUUGGUGAUGUCGAUUCAAGCCUAAAUCGCCACAAUUUCUGCUCUUACAUCUUUCUCCUUGAUCUAGGGUCCAGACCAUAGACCAUUAAAGGAGGCCGACUAAACUAGGGUUUCGACUACUGAUCUAUUUCUGCACGUAUGUUCUUCAGACAAUCAAGGCAUGCUAAAUGGGCUGUGUUUGCGGGUCGCAACCAAAUCGUGGAUACGACAUGCGUAUCUGCAAGUUGACAUGAACAUGAUUCUUUAGCGUGGAAUUUUUUUACUUUAUUGUUUUUACAUAUUAAUUUCCUAGAAUUACAAAUUUAAAUGUGUAUUAAACUAAACAAUUAUUUUCAAACUAUUAUAGAUGAUGCUGGACUUUUUAACCUAUUAGUGAGGACUUUUGAACUAUAAAAGAUGAUGCUGGACUUUUAAACUAUAAAAGAUGAUGUUGCUUUCUCUUUUAUAUUUUAAUACGUAGUAUAAUAUAAUCAAUCAAUUUAAGUUAUGACAUAAGCGAGCCCAAUCCGUUUAACUAAAUGUGUGACAUGGGUUUGACCCGAAACCAAAUCAUAAUAUGAUACACCGUUGACAUUUUGUUUCCAAAAGUAGAUUGAUGUUUAUUCGUUUGGGGUGGUCAUGUGGGAGCUGCUAACUGGAGACGAACCUUAUACAAAUAUGGAUUGCGCUAACGUAAUUGGAUGAACAACACAUUGCGUCCUACAAUACCAACUUGGUGUGAUCCUGAAUGGAAAUCAUUAAUGCAAAGUUGUUGGUCUGCAGAUCCUCAAGAAAGACCAUCUUUUUUGGAAAUUUCUAGGAAACUAAGAACCAUGGCUGCAGCAAUCAAUGUCAAAUGAUAUGCAUUAUGCUUUAAAUUUGGGUGUUAGAGUAGCUCUUGCAAAUGGUAUGAAUUGGGAUGAUUUAACUCGGAUGGUCAAAGAGGAGAAGAAAUAUGGAAAUCCCGUUGUAGGCCUUAUUGACAAAUUACAUCUUGAAACAAAUUCCAUGAGUCUGCUUUUGAAUAACAAUCUUGAUGAAUGGACGAUGAUGAAAUUACUCAACCCGUGGAAAAGGUGGUUGAUUGUUUUUACGACUCAAGACAAAGAAAAAAUGAUUUGCCGGAAAUCCUUUUUACUUCCAUAUCAGAGAGUGGAUACAGUGUUGAUGCAGAGAGGAGAUGAAGUUGUUUCCGUCACCCACCGUCUCACCAAACACCGCUUCACCUCCAUUGCCAUGUCUACAAUCUCUGUUCCCACGUUAACAUCAGUAUACAUCGGAGAUAUUAUGCAUUACGACUUUACUAAAAAGGCAUGCAAGUAUACAGAAUUGAUGACAGUGUGAGAGGAGACAAGGCAACAUAUAAAAUUAGUACCUUUAUGUAGAUGAAUUCAUUUGUAUUAUGUAUUACUCUACCUUCAUUUCUUAAUGUAAUUUUUUAUGUUCACACUGCCGGUGCAAGUCAUUUUUAUAAAAGGAUGAAAACAUCAUAAUGAAG